rnacentral:ncRNA from 1 species
UAUCUUCGGGGCAGGGUGAAAAUCCCUACCGGCGGUAAAGCCCGCAAGCCUUUGGCACGAUCCGGUGAGAUUCCGGAGCCGACAGUAAGGAAACAGCUAUUGUAUUUCCAUAGUCUGGAUGAGAGAAGAA